UGGGGAGUGGGGUCGCGUCCUAUCAGCUUGUAGGCGGGGUAAUGGCCCACCUAGGCUUCGACGGGUAGCCGGCCUGAGAGGGCGGACGGCCACAGUUGGGACUGAGAUACCGGCCCAGACUCCGUACGGGAGGCAGCAGGUGGGGAAUUAUUGCGCAAGUGGGGAAAACCCUGACGCAGCGACGCCGCGUGCGGGAUGAAGGCCUUCGGGUUGUAAACCGCUUUUGAUUGGGGAGCAAGCCUUUUGGGUGAGUGUACCUUUCGAAUAAGCGCCGGGCUAACUACGUGCCCAGCAGCCGCGGGUAAAUA
rnacentral:rRNA from 1 species